rnacentral:tRNA from 1 species
GACAUCGUAGUGUAAUUGGUUAACGCGCCGGCGUACAUCGCCGAAGUCGCUGGUUCGAACCCAGACGGUUCCA